CAAUAGCGUAUAUUAAAGUUGUUGCAGUUAAAAAGCUCGUAGUUGGAUUUCUGGUGGGAGCGAUCGGUCUGGCGCUUAGCGCGAGUACUUGCAUCGUCUCCGGCCAUCCUUGGGGAGAGUCUGUCUGGCAUUAGGUUGUCGGGCAGAGGAUCCUCAUCGUUUACUGUGAAAAAAUUAGAGUGUUCAAAGCAGGCUUAUGCCGUUGAAUAUAUUAGCGUGGAAUAAUAAGAUAGGACUUUGGUACUAUUUUGUUGGUUUGCGCACCAAAGUAAUGAUUAAUAGGGACAGUUGGGGGUAUUCGUAUUCCGUUGUCAGAGGUGAAAUUCUUGGAUCUACGGAAGACGAACUACUGCGAAAGCAUUUACCAAGGAUGUUUUCAUUAA
rnacentral:rRNA from 1 species